rnacentral:rRNA from 1 species
CCUACGGGCGGCAGCAGUGAGGAAUAUUGGUCAAUGGGCGAGAGCCUGAACCAGCAAAGUCGCGUGAGGGAGUACUGCCCUAUGGGUUGUAAACCUCUUUUGUCGGGGAGCAAAAGCCGGACGUGUCCGGCUGUGAGAGUACCCGAAGAAAAAGCAUCGGCUAACUCCGUGCCAGCAGCCGCGGUAAUACGGGGGAUGCGAGCGUUAUCCGGAUUUAUUGGGGUUAAAGGGUGCUCAGGCGGAUUUUUAAGUCAGCGGUCAAAUCGUGGGGCUCAACCCCAUCCAGCCGUUGAAACUGGGGAUCUAGAGUGUGCGAGAGGUAUGCGGAAUGCGUGGUGUAGCGGUGAAAUGCAUAGAUAUCACGCAGAACCCCGAUUGCGAAGGCAGCAUACCGGUGCACAACUGACGCUCAGGCACGAAAGCGUGGGUAUCGAACAGGAUUAGAUACCCUGGUAGUC